GUGUCAGCCGCCGCGGUAAUACGUAGAGUGCAAGCGUUGUCCGGAAUUAUUGGGCGUAAAGGGUACGCAGGCGGAUAAUCAAGUCAAGCGUGAAAGGUGUCGGCUCAACCGACAGACUGCGUUUGAAACUGGUUAUCUUGAGUGUAACGGAGGAGAGUGGAAUUCCUAGUGUAGUGGUGAAAUACGUAGAGAUUAGGAAGAACACCAGUGGCGAAGGCGACUCUCUGGGUUAACACUGACGCUGAGGUACGAGAGCUGGGGGAGCGAACAG
rnacentral:rRNA from 1 species